UACGUAGGGUGCGAGCGUUGUCCGGAUUUAUUGGGCGUAAAGAGCGUGUAGGCGGCCAUACAGGUCAGCUGUGAAAACUCGAGGCUCAACCUCGAGACGUCGGUUGAAACCGUAUGGCUAGAGUCCGGAAGAGGAGAGUGGAAUUCCCGGUGUAGCGGUGAAAUGCGCAAAUAUCGGGAAGAACACCCGUGGCGAAGGCGGCUCUCUGGGACGGUACUGACGCUGAGGCACGAAAGCGUGGGGAGCAAACAGG
rnacentral:rRNA from 1 species